UCCCAGUCUCUCACAUAAAUAAUAAGCAGGGUUUUAGCACUGCUGCCUCAAACGAGAACAAGAAAGAGACUUGCCAAAGAAGAAUGAGGCUUAACUGAGAGCAGCAGAGUCUCACAGACUGUUUGAAUUCCGAUGUAAACCUUGCUGAUUUCUGCCCCCAAAGCCCUAGCGGGGCUGUUUCACCCGGAUUGUGUUGGAAUCUGGACCUCACGGAGGGGAGGGGAUGUUGCCCUUUCAUCCCUGAGGUCCAUGACCGUGACUUCAGCUUCGUCAGAUGUUACUCAUUUGUUUUCUGUAGUUCUUUGUAGCUUCUGUACCAUCUUGGGUUACUUUUGUUAGACCUACACAUAGGCAGUUUUGUUUCUUCGGAUGGCGGUAUACAUUAUUUUUUUCUCUUAUUUUUUAGUUUCAGUUGGUUCUAGCAUCGAGGAAAACAAGUGGUGUUUAUAUGUUGCUUUUGUGUCCUGCAAUCUUGCUGGUUUAUUGGUUCUAACAGUGUGUGCGUGCAUUUCCUAGGAUUUUCUAU